GUUUGUGUAUUGAAUUUUUUAUUUUUAAUAUUAAAGAGCUUUGUUAAACUUAGACUUARGUUUAGGKCRUKUUGGGGGUUUAGCUCARUWGGCUAGAGCAUCGGCUUUGMRRGCCGAGGGUCAAGGGUUCGAGUCCCUUAACSUCCAUUGGGCUUAUGUCSUAAAUCGUAAUUAAGUAUGUUUUUAAGUAACUUUGUUAAAGUAAUUGUUGGAAYGUGAAACAGAGGAAGUUAAAAUUUCUGGGUUAAGUUGAGAUCUGUUGAUAUUAAGAWGWAUCUMUAGAAGCAAAAGCAAGCUUUCGAUAAAACCCGAAGUUGUUUCGMUAAAGUGCAAGGAUUAAACAGGAUUGUAUYUUCCAGUAGCCUAUUUUAUAAWYGAUCUGCAUUUAGUAAAUAGUUUUUAGUUAAGAAAUAAUGUAGAUUGSUAAGUGUGAUGCMUGAAAGAAGGACAAGUAUUGUAGCGAGCMUMAAUCCUUGUUGUCGYUGCCAGUAUUUAGUGGUAGGGAUUCGGAUAAGACUGCCAUUUAUAAGUUGGAGGAAGGCAAAGAUUGCAUUAAAUCGUUAUCGCUCUUAUGUUUUAGGUUACAAGUYUGCCACAAUAACCCAA
rnacentral:misc_RNA from 1 species